rnacentral:rRNA from 1 species
UGGGGAAUAUUGGACAAUGGGCGCAAGCCUGAUCCAGCAAUGCCGCGUGUGUGAAGAAGGCCUGCGGGUUGUAAAGCACUUUCGGUGGGGAGAAUGAAACUUAUCCUAAUAAGAUAAGUGGAAGAUGUUACCCACAGAAGAAGCACCGGCUAACUCUGUGCCAGCAGCCGCGGUAAUACAGAGGGUGCGAGCGUUAAUCGGAAUUACUGGGCGUAAAGGGUGCGUAGGUGGUUAGAUAAGUUAGGUGUGAAAGUCCCGGGCUUAACCUGGGGAUUGCGCCUGAUACUGUUUAACUAGAGUACUGUAGAGGAAAGUGGAAUUUCCGGUGUAGCGGUGAAAUGCGUAGAUAUCGGAAGGAACAUCAGUGGCGAAGGCGACUUUCUGGACAGAUACUGACACUGAGGCACGAAAGCAUGGGGAGCAAACAG